rnacentral:rRNA from 1 species
UACGAAGGGGGCUAGCGUUGCUCGGAAUCACUGGGCGUAAAGCGCACGUAGGCGGACUCUUAAGUCGGUGGUGAAAUCCUGGAGCUCAACUCCAGAACUGCCUUCGAUACUGAGAGUCUCGAGUCCGGGAGAGGUGAGUGGAACUGCGAGUGUAGAGGUGAAAUUCGUAGAUAUUCGCAAGAACACCAGUGGCGAAGGCGGCUCACUGGCCCGGUACUGACGCUGAGGUGCGAAAGCUAGGGGAGCGAACAGG